rnacentral:lncRNA from 1 species
GGGGACUCCUGGGUGGGCUGCCUGGGCCUGUUUCCUCGCCUUUGGGCCAAGUCCCAGGCAAAGAGGAGCCCCAGAUGCAGACCCAAGAGGAGACAGGCACUGGAAGGACCUCACCAGCCCCAGAUCACAGGGCCACCCCAAGUGGACAGAGGACAGUCCAUGGCGGCCUCCACUGAGCACCUGCGCCCUCCCCGCAGUGCCCAUCACUGAGUGCACAGGUGUGAGGCUGCGUUGUGUGCUAGAAACAGAGCCUCAGGGAGGGGAACUGACUUCAGAC